rnacentral:lncRNA from 1 species
AAUUAUCUAUUUAAUAUUUUCAGAUGGUUUGCCAUGGGUAACUGAAAUAACAGAAGGAAAUCCUUGCCUAGGGAAAGAGGACUACAGCUCAGUCUUCAGUGUGUUGGGAGCUGAUCCAGAUUUGUCCCAAAGUGUUUUUAACACAAGUCUAUGGUUGGUGAUUAAAGAUGGCUUUUCCUGUGAACUUUUUUACUGGGUAGAAUAUAUUAAUCAAGUCUGGGCCUUGGGGGAUGGUUCAGUCGUGGUUAAAGUGCUGGCUGCUUGAAGCUUGAGGGUCUAAGCCCCGAUUCCCAGUUGUGUUGGAAUAGCCAGGUACAGCAGGAUGUGGCUAUAACCACAAUGCUGUGAUUAGCCUAGUAGAAAGGGUUAAACUCUAGGUUCAGUGAGAUAAUCUGUCUCAAAAAAAGAUGGAGGGCUAGCACAUGCUCAGUCAGUAAAAGCUCUUCCCAGCAAACCUCAUGACCUGGGUUCAAUCUCUGAGACACAUGGGUGCGAGGAGAGAACUUAGUCCUGCAAGUUGUUUUCCAACGUAGGCAUGUGUAUUGUAAUUCCCCCUCUACCCAAGAUAAGUGUAAUAAUUGAUUUUUAAAAUGUAGAGCAAAAGAGGGGAACAAGAACACGGAUCUUGGGCCUCCAUGUACACAUUCAUAUAUGAGUAUAGUCAGAUCAAUAACUUUAAAUCACUUAAUAUUUUUAAAAAUUAAUUUCAUAAAAAAUAAAUAAAAGUAAAAAUUUUACGUAUAUGUGGUUUUGAAGUUUUUGAAAUCAAAAUGUAUGUGUGUUCUGUAUAGAUGUGUGUAUGUGCACCAUGUGCAAGCCUUGUUCCAGAGGGACCAGAAGAGGGUUUUGGAUCUCUUAGAACUAGGGUUGCAGAUGGUUGUGAACUGCCUUGUGGGUCCUGGGAACUAAACUGGGUCCUCCUGUAGUUCAUCAAAUGCUGUUAGCCACUGAGAUGUCUCCCCAGUGUCUCCCUAGGCUGCUUACAAUGUCAUCAAAGCAAUGGUAUCUGGAUGAAGAGUCCUAAUAAAGGGAAUGACCUUGAUCAGUUCUCUAUGAUCAAUAGUUUGCUCUAUGAGUAACACUUUGAAGCCCCAGGAUAUUCUAGAAAACUGAGGAAAGGAUGUCUUCUCAUCCCUCCUUUGAUGAGUCAGCUACAACUGCCUGAUACCCAUUAGUGUUGUUCAUUUAUUAACCACACAGGGAAGGGGAAGGUUUGACUAACUGCAACCGAAAGAUGCCUACUGACAGGGCUUCUGUGACUGAGGAAAAAUGUGACUGAGGACUUGGCUAAUAAGGACAGAUCAGAAGUGGACUGAGUUGCCAUGUUAUUCUACAUAGAUGUAAAGAUCACCCUAUGCUUGAGCGUGUCGGUGCACACACGUGUGCACAAGGAGUGAGAGCGUGCAAGUGCUCACACUCACGCCAGAACAUGCAUGUGGAGUUCAGAGACCAGCUUCAGGGGUUAGAUCUUGUUCUGCUGUGUGGGUUCCAAAGACUGAACACAUGGAUCAUCAGGCUUGCCCAAAAGCUCCCUCACCCACUGAGCCAUCUCGUUGGCACAGCUUUCGUUUUUAAAACCUUGCUUUGAAAGGAAAUAAAACUUGAGACCUGUGAUUCAUGUAAUUUAUGUCAAAUAGCCCAAAGAGUUGUUUGUGAGCUUUGAAACCUGGGGCUGAGAACAUAGCAGAACAGAUCAGGACAUGUCCGGACUGGCCAGGCACCUCCCUAUCUCCCACCCCUUUGACCUAAGUUAAAUGUUAACAGGCUUCUGAUGUUUAAAUGGACCAAUCAUGUGAAACCGCGCCAAUUCCUCCCCCAGCCCCACUCCUUUUCUAUAAAAACCCCUAGCUUCCAAGCCUCGUGGUCGAAUCCACUGUCUCCUGUGUGAGAUACGUUUCGACCCGGAGCUCCGCCAUUAAAAUACCUCGUGUUGUUACAUCAAGGUGCUGUGUUCUGUUCAUGAUUCUUGGGUGCACACCG